rnacentral:ncRNA from 2 species
CGAGACCACUAGGGGUGCAAUUAUUGCUGAGAAAGGUGCAAGCCUUAACCCUAUUACCUGAUCUAGAUAAUACUAGCGGAGGGAAGUGGUGAGAGCGUCUA